ensembl:rRNA 5S_rRNA 5S ribosomal RNA
GUCUCAGGCCGUAUCAGCCUGAAGGCGCUCGAUCUCGUCUGAUCUCGGAAGCUAAGCAGGGUCGGCCUGGUUAGUAUCUUGGAUGGGAGACCACCUGGGAACUCCCGGGUGCUCGAGGUC